CCUACGGGUGGCAGCAGUGGGGAAUAUUGGACAAUGGGGGCAACCCUGAUCCAGCCAUGCCGCGUGUGUGAAGAAGGCCCUCGGGUUGUAAAGCACUUUCAGUGAGGAAGAACGCCUGGUGGUUAAUACCCAUCAGGAAAGACAUCACUCACAGAAGAAGCACUGGCUAACUCCGUGCCAGCAGCCGCGGUAAUACGGAGGGUGCGAGCGUUAAUCGGAAUUACUGGGCGUAAAGCGCGCGUAGGUGGCUUGAUAAGCCGGUUGUGAAAGCCCCGGGCUCAACCUGGGAACGGCAUCCGGAACUGUCAAGCUAGAGUGCAGGAGAGGAAGGUAGAAUUCCCGGUGUAGCGGUGAAAUGCGUAGAGAUCGGGAGGAAUACCAGUGGCGAAGGCGGCCUUCUGGACUGACACUGACACUGAGGUGCGAAAGCGUGGGUAGCAAACAGGAUUAGAUACCCUGGUAGUC
rnacentral:rRNA from 1 species